CCUACGGGCGGCAGCAGUGGGGAAUAUUGCACAAUGGGGGAAACCCUGAUGCAGCGACGCCGCGUGAGUGAAGAAGUAUUUCGGUACGUAAAGCUCUAUCAGCAGGGAAGAAAAUGACGGUACCUGACUAAGAAGCCCCGGCUAACUACGUGCCAGCAGCCGCGGUAAUACGUAGGGGGCAAGCGUUAUCCGGAUUUACUGGGUGUAAAGGGAGCGUAGACGGCAGCGCAAGUCUGGAGUGAAAUCCCAUGGCUUAACCAUGGAACUGCUGUGGAAACUGUGCAGCUAGAGUGCAGGAGAGGUAAGCGGAAUUCCUAGUGUAGCGGUGAAAUGCGUAGAUAUUAGGAGGAACACCAGUGGCGAAGGCGGCUUACUGGACUGUAACUGACGUUGAGGCUCGAAAGCGUGGGGAGCAAACAGGAUUAGAUACCCCAGUAGUC
rnacentral:rRNA from 1 species